AUCACAAGGGCUGGGAACCCACAAACCAAGCCCAUGGAAAUGGAUAUAGAAUCUGGGGAAUAUACAGUUCUUCAGAGCCUUUAAAAUGGAUAAAGGGGAAGAUAAGUCCCUAGUUCAUGUGUACCAUUUGCAGCCCACCAUCCUGCACAAGAGGGAAAGUUCAGAGCUGCAAACCAAAACCAAGCACUUGGUACAGCUUAAAAGAAAUUGCUGGGGUGUUAAAUAAGGAAGGAAUAGAA